rnacentral:lncRNA from 1 species
AUGAACAUCUUGUACUUGUCAAACUCGUGGGGCUUGCAGAGCUCACUGAUCAGAGCUUCCACCUCCUCUCCCAAGGCAUUGUUAAGCUUGAUGUCCAUGAACAGACUCCCCUUUGCCUCCUGGAGGGUCUCGAGCUUGCGGGUGAGGCUUUCUAUGAGCUCAGCCUUUUUUUUCAUUGACAUCCACCUGCUCCUCUUCCUCGUUCACCUCUUCUGGCAUUUCUUUGAUUUUGUUCAGGAGCUCAGCCUUGGCAGCAGACACACUGUAGUAGGCAGGGCAGUUGACCAACAUGCCGGCCACUUCCUUGUCUUCACUCCUGGACCAAAAGGAACACAAAAUAUAGCCACACAUAAUUCUCUAAUGAUGUUUGCUCAUUCAGUAGUGCAUUUCUUUCUUAGAAAUUAGGGUGACUUAGUAAAUAUUUACAAAUAAGAAGAGGGCUCCAGAAGC